UUCCUCAGAGACAAAAAAAAAAAGGACGCAGCUUUUUUAACGCAGCGGCGGUCGUCUUCAUCCUCCUCGAGCUAGGGUUCCCAAUCGGUUCUUCAUCUUCUUCUCCUCCUCCUCUCAGUUUCCUUCGAUCCGCCAUGCGGAACGCGCGUUCGAGAUCGGAAAUCGCAGGCUGACGAGCGACAGUAGGCCGUGCAGAACCGACCCCGCGCUUGCUUUCUUCCGAUUCCGAUGUCCUGAACCUCCGAGGUGGUCGCCGGAUUCGAGCUGUUCCGAUCGCCUCGCGGUCCCGAUUGCCCCGGCCGCACCGACGCGAGAGGGAAUCAUCCCGCUGCGGGUCGGGAAAUGGCGGGGAGGAAUCGCGUGCUGCGCGAGCCGUUCAACGGCCGGCGCGGCUACCUUCCCGAAGGCCCUUACGUCCGCGGCCCGCCGAUGCCCCGGCCGCCCCCUCCUCCCGCGCUGCUGGAGGAGGAGCUCGAGAUGCAGCACGCCGAGCUCCGGAGGGUGCUGGCGGAUAACCGGAGGUUGGUCGAGGACCGGAUUGCGCUGCAGCGGGAGCUCGGCGCGGCCAAGGAGGAGAUUCACCGGAUGAACCUUGUCAUCGGGGAUGUCCGCGCGGAGCACGAAAUGCACUCGAGGGAUUUCAUCGAGAAGGGUAUGAAGCUCGAGGCCGACCUUCGCGCGGCCGAGCCUUUGAAAAAGGAAGCUGCGCAGCUCCGCUCCGAAGUUCAGAAGCUGAAUAACGUGAAGCAGGAUCUCGCCGGGCAGGUUCAAACGCUGACGCAGGACGUUGCUAGAUUGAAGGCUGAAAAUAAGCAGAUUUCUCUCUUGAGGGCGGAGAUUGAUGGUCUCAACCAGGAGCUCAUGCAUGCUAGAUCUACUAUCGAGUAUGAGAGGAAAGCAAACAUUGAAUUGAUGGAACAAAGACAGGCAAUGGAGAAUAAUUUGGUUUCUAUGGCGCGGGAGGUCGAGAAGCUGCGUGCAGAACUUACUGCUGGUGAUGUCAGAUCGUGGGGUGCUGGUGGAGGACCAUACGGGAGGAAAUUUAACCCUGGGGAAGGGAGUUUCGCUGCACCAUAUGGGGAUGGCUAUGGUGUUCACCUGGGUUCUGGUAACGGUCCUCUUUAUGGUCCUGGAUCUGCUUCACGGGGAGGACAUGACAAGCCUCGCAUUAAUCGUCGUUGAGAGUCGGACGGUGAUUGCUGUAACUGAAUAUGCACGGCAUGUCAUUUGCUGGGCAGUUGAAUGAGUUAACGGGAGGGAAGGCACAAAUUUAUCAAUUGGCACACCACAUCAAUAGUCUAUGAUCUGAAUGCAUCAUGGAGAGAAUUUCUUGCGAUGCCUGACUUGGAGGGUGUCACAUUUUUCUGCUGGGGAGCCCAACGGGUUGGAUGUCCAUCCAAUGACUAUAGCAUAGUGGAAGAGUUCGUUGGGACACCGUUGCACUGCUCGUAGACGGCAUACACACUGAAAAAGUUGUUCAUACUAGCAGAGGGCAUCAUAUAUUCAGAUUCUUCAUGGGUGAAAUUGCCACAUGAAUACUGGUAGGAUUGAGGCACAAUGAGGUGCCUCCAGAGAGGCAAUUUGAUGAGGCAGUGAUGCAGUGACUGUGUUUUUGGCUGGUACUUUCUCCUCGGUCACUGUCUAUUUGUUCUCAUUUUUCAAGUCGGAGAAAUCUAUGACUUGGAACUGUAACGGGAGUUACAACUUACUUAUGCCUUAUAGAGGUGGCCAUAUGAGAAUAAUUAAUGAAAUGUUUAGCAAUUUUCCCUCUA